AGCCUGAUGCAGCGACGCCGCGUGAGGGAUGACGGCCUUCGGGUUGUAAACCUCUUUCAGCAGGGAAGAAGCGAAAGUGACGGUACCUGCAGAAGAAGCGCCGGCUAACUACGUGCCAGCAGCCGCGGUAAUACGUAGGGCGCAAGCGUUGUCCGGAAUUAUUGGGCGUAAAGAGCUCGUAGGCGGCUUGUCACGUCGGAUGUGAAAGCCCGGGGCUUAACCCCGGGUCUGCAUUCGAUACGGGCUAGCUAGAGUGUGGUAGGGGAGAUCGGAAUUCCUGGUGUAGCGGUGAAAUGCGCAGAUAUCAGGAGGAACACCGGUGGCGAAGGCGGAUCUCUGGGCCAUUACUGACGCUGAGGAGCGAAAGCGUGGGGAGCGAACAGGAUUAGAUACCCUGGUAGUCCACGCCGUAAACGUUGGGAACUAGGUGUUGGCGACAUUCCACGUCGUCGGUGCCGCAGCUAACGCAUUAAGUUCCCCGCCUGGGGAGUACGGCCGCAAGGCUAAAACUCAAAUGAAUUGACGGGG
rnacentral:rRNA from 1 species